UACAGAGGGUGCAAGCGUUAAUCGGAGUUACUGGGCGUAAAGGGCGCGUAGGCGGUUCGAUCAGUCGGGUGUGAAAGCCCCGGGCUCAACCUGGGAAUUGCAUUCGAUACUGUCGAGCUAGAGUAUGAUAGAGGAAAGCGGAAUUCCACAUGUAGCGGUGAAAUGCGUAGAUAUGUGGAGGAACAUCAGUGGCGAAGGCGGCUUUCUGGAUUAAUACUGACGCUGAGGCGCGAAAGCGUGGGGAGCAAACAGG
rnacentral:rRNA from 1 species